CUCUGCAAACCACUUCCUGAGAGCGCUCCUCCAACUUGGAAAAUUAUGUUACCAACAAGCUGCUAUCUUGCCAUGAGUCCUCGCAGCUGUCCAAUUUUGAAGGAGGGUAUCAUACAAAUCUAGCUCCUCACAGCUGCCAUUAUUCGAAUCUAAAACACCUUGGCUUCAAAAAUGCAGCCGAUCGAAGAGUCUAAUCCAAUUGGGACAUGGUUGAAAUGAGAUCUACAAAAAAAAUUUUCGGACAGACACUAGGAGGAAGACCUACCACUCUGAACAUACCAUGAAUCAUUGGCAAAUGCUAGUCCAUCAUGGUCAUAUGAACUCGCACCCCAUCUAUAGCUAUAGGCACAGACGAAUCUUGUCACGUUGAAAUCACCACCAAGCUUGCCAUAUACAAACCAAGCUUAAUGAAAAUUUAUUGACGUGAUUGUGUGUUGGGAGGAAGAAUCACAUGUGGUGGUUGGUAUUUCAUGUUCAAUGGAAUCUUGGGCGUUCCUUACGUCGUCGUUUCUUGAACAAUUACAAGAGGGUGGUAGUUGAAGGUAUGCUUAUCAAACC
rnacentral:lncRNA from 1 species